AUUGAACGCUGGCGGCGUGCCUAAUACAUGCAAGUCGAGCGAAGCGGGGACGGGUGAGUAACACGUGGAUAACCUCCUAUAAAACUGGGAUAUCUUCGGGAAACCGAAGCUAAACCGGAUACUUAUAGUUGGAUCUGCGCUGCAUUCGCUAGUUGGUAUGGUAACGGCUUACCAAGGCAACGAUGCAUAGCCGACCUGCGAGCGUGCUCGGCCACACUGGAACUGAGACACGGUCCAGACUCCUACGGGAGGCAGCAGUAGGGAAUCUUGCGCAGUGGGCGAAAUGAUGACGGUGCCACGCCGCGUGAGUGAUGUAGGUCUGCGGAUCGUAAAACUCGGUUAUUCGGUAAGCGGGACCAAAACAGAAAGCAACGGCUAACUACGUGCCAGCAGCCGCGGUAAUAC
rnacentral:rRNA from 1 species